rnacentral:tmRNA from 1 species
GGGCUUCAAAACCGACGCGAUCCCCCCUAUAUUCGAUCUCGCCGGCCGCAAGGUCGGCUAUGGCGAUAAACGGUCUUCGGAAUAAACCUAUCGGACCCGGGGGCGGUACCCGGCGCCUCCACCGGAACCCAGGGCUUUUGGACGCAUCGGCGGCGUUCGGAUCGUUGGGUUGCGGCGGGGGCGAAAUAGGAUCGACGAGGGCGUAAAGGUUGAUCUUUCGCUCGGCAUGGUUCCGCCGUUAUCGGGCCUUUGCAAUAGUUGCCAACGACAACUUUGCUCCGGUGGCGGUGGCCGCGUAAGCGGUCCCCA